rnacentral:rRNA from 1 species
UACGAAGGGGGCUAGCGUUGCUCGGAAUUACUGGGCGUAAAGCGCACGUAGGCGGCUUUCUAAGUCGGAGGUGAAAUCCUGGAGCUCAACUCCAGAACUGCCUUCGAUACUGGAGAGCUUGAGUCCGGGAGAGGUGAGUGGAACUGCGAGUGUAGAGGUGAAAUUCGUAGAUAUUCGCAAGAACACCAGUGGCGAAGGCGGCUCACUGGCCCGGUACUGACGCUGAGGCACGAAAGCGUGGGGAGCAAACAGG